UGGGGAAUUUUGGACAAUGGGGGAAACCCUGAUCCAGCCAUCCCGCGUGUGCGAUGAAGGCCUUCGGGUUGUAAAGCACUUUUGGCAGGAAAGAAACGUCAUGGGUUAAUACCCCGUGAAACUGACGGUACCUGCAGAAUAAGCACCGGCUAACUACGUGCCAGCAGCCGCGGUAAUACGAAGGGUGCAAGCGUUAAUCGGAAUUACUGGGCGUAAAGCGUGCGCAGGCGGUUCGGAAAGAAAGAUGUGAAAUCCCAGAGCUCAACUUUGGAACUGCAUUUUUAACUACCGGUCUAGAGUGUGUCAGAGGGGGGUUGAAUUCCGCGUGUGGCAGUGAAAUGCGUAGAUAUGCGGAGGAAUACCGAUAACGAAGGCAGCCUCCUGGGAUAACACUGACGCUCAUGCACGAAGGCGUGGGGAGCAAACAGG
rnacentral:rRNA from 1 species